UCUCCGGCCUUCAAGCCUUCGAGCAUGGACAAGCUCCUCUUCGGACUCGGUACUCUUGUUAUAGUCCCCCUUACAUCUCUCUCUAUACUGAUCUCCCUCUAAUCUCCUCUCUACAACACUUCUUCUUCGACUCAUGUUCUCCCUCAUUUUUUUUUUCAUUCUAUCACUCUCUCUUUUAAUGAAUCUCUUUUUUAACCUCUCUAUAUUGGUGUUACUUACUCUCCUCAUGUCGGCCAAAGUGUUCAUAACAUUCUUCAACACUCGGCUGAGUUGGG
rnacentral:lncRNA from 1 species